GGCCUGGUGGUCUAGUAGUAUGAUUCCUUCUUAGGGUGCCGCACCGUCGGUAGCGUGAUUUGGAGGAGGUCCCGGGUUCAAUUCCCGGCCAGGCCC